UUUAUAUGAAGCUAUCCUUUUGAUUUAAUUAUUUAUUAACAUUAAUAAGUUUAAGAGGUAAUCUGUAAUUUUACGUUAAGAGUAUAUGAUAUUGUUAUGAAAUAUUUGGUGUGAUCUCAUCCAUUCGAGGGAUAGAUCUAAUCUAUCUAGAUAGAAAGAAGGAGAAGCUUUCUUCACGUAUAUAUCUCCAAUUAGCAUCUCCCUGGAAUAAGUACGACGUUUUCCAAACAUCGUACCCGUUUGUUCACACCGUAUCCCUCUGUAUAUAAUGACUUGAAAGUGAAUGAGAAGAUUGAUCUCAUUCUUCUUCCUCUGUCGUAGUUUCUCAAUUCUCAACACGUUAUCAGCACUUCGCUCUUCCCCACCAAACACAAAUAGGAAGAGAAGAAGAAACAGAAGGUACGAUGAUCUCCAUCACCGACGUCACAAUGGUGCUGCCUCCUCGCCAUCGACGGCACUGCCGGUCAUUGCCACGCCAACCUCCUCCUUGCCAACCACGAUGACCGACGGCGACCAUGGCAGNN
rnacentral:lncRNA from 1 species